rnacentral:lncRNA from 1 species
GGAGCAAUAUUUUGAAAUGUCUUGUUGCUGGUUAAAUACAGGGAACGCCAAUACAAGGAAGCAAGCUUCGACUUCCAGGAUAUUUAUCAGGGAAAGGCUUCCACUCUGGGGAGGACAGUGGCUUGAUAACAACUGCAGCUGCCAGAGUCCGAACACAGUUUGCUGAUUCCAAGAAGACUCCCAGCCGACCAGGAAGUCGAGCUGGAAGCAAAGCUGGUAGCAGGGCCAGCAGCCGCCGAGGCAGUGAUGCAUCAGACUUUGACAUUUCAGAAAUCCAGUCCGUGUGCUCAGAUGUGGAAACUGUCCCCCAGACACACAGACCUACACCCCGAGCAGGUUCUCGGCCAUCCACAGCGAAGCCUUCAAAAAUCCCCACGCCUCAGAGGAAAUCACCUGCCAGCAAAUUGGACAAGUCCUCAAAGAGAUAGUGCAAUUGGUUCUACCAAGGCCCUUCCUUGAGCAUUUAUUAUUUAAGUUUGAACGAUGUAAAAUAUGGUGUAGAAAUUCUUGUGAAAUAUUGCAAGAGGCGAGUUUAAAAUUCUGCAGAUGGCCUUAUUUGUGUAUUUGUCUUUUUAUUUUAUCUGUAUAAUUUUUUUUGUCAGAUAUUCUGGGGUUAAAGUCACAUCAUAUGUGAGGAGGAAAAGUUUAACAUGAACUAACAUUUCUGCACUGUAACGUGCAGGGCACACACUAAACUCAGUUACUGUACCUACAGGUAAGUCUACAUCCUCUCUGACAGCCACAGCACUACAUCAAUCCCUGACAUUAGGGAUACCUCAUGACAUUUUCCUGUUUUUAUGGAAACUCUGAGAAGCUGAAUGAUACAUGCAGGGGAUAUUUUUUGAGAUGAUUUAAAUGUAAACCAAAAGAUGGAAGACAAAAAGACAAACACACCCACACGCAGUCUUUGCAGUAUCUGACAGAGAACUCACAGGAAGUUACUUCAAGCACUUGCCAGUACUAUGAUAUUCAAGUACCUUGCAGCAUUUCUGUGCCAUUGCUUUCAAUGAGGCCAGAGGCAUCCUGGAUAUUAGACCUAUUAUACUGUAAGAAUAUAAGUAUAAAGUGCAUUCAUAUACAUGUGAGGUUUUCUUUUGCUUGAGUGGACAGUAGCACCUGUAUCAUUGAACUCAUUUUGUAUCAGAGCAAUUUUGCUUGCAGAAAGCUAUGAAAUAAAACACGUCCCUUAACUGCAUUGCUAUGGAAUUAAUUUUUUUUCCCCAGGGAAAACUAGUGUAUUUUUUUAUGAGCAAUAUCAAUUUGGAGUGACCAAAAGAUACUUAAAAAUGGGUUUAUUUUGAUUUCUCAUCUGAAAU